GACGAACGCUGGCGGCGUGCUUAACACAUGCAAGUCGAACGAUGAAGAAAAGAAUCGAAGCUUCGGCAGAAAUUCAUUUCGGAUUAGUGGCAGACGGGUGAGUAACGCGUGAGCAACCUACCUCUUACAAAGGGAUAGCCUCGGGAAACCGGGAUUAAUACCAUAUAACAUUGUGACGAAGCAUUUCGAUGCAAUCAAAGCUACGGCGGUAAGAGAUGGGCUCGCGUCCCAUUAACCGGAUGGUGAGGUAACGGCUCACCAUAGUGACGAUGGGUAACCGGCCUGAGAGGGUGAACGGUCACACUGGAACUGAGACACGGUCCAGACUCCUACGGGAGGCAGCAGUGGGGAAUAUUGCACAAUGGCGGGAACUCUGAUGCAGCGACGCCGCGUGAGUGAUGAAGGAAUUCGUUUCGUAAAACUCUGUUCUAUGGGAAGAAAAGGACUGUACCAUAGGAGAAAGCUCCGGCUAAAUACGUG
rnacentral:rRNA from 1 species